UACAGAGGGUGCAAGCGUUGCUCGGAUUUACUGGGCGUAAAGGGCGCGUAGGCGGCCCGCUAAGUCGAACGUGAAAUCCCCGGGCUCAACCCGGGAACUGCGUCCGAUACUGGUGGGCUCGAAUCCGGGAGAGGGAUGCGGAAUUCCAGGUGUAGCGGUGAAAUGCGUAGAUAUCUGGAGGAACACCGGUGGCGAAGGCGGCAUCCUGGACCGGUAUUGACGCUGAGGCGCGAAAGCCAGGGGAGCAAACGGG
rnacentral:rRNA from 1 species